CCUACGGGGGGCAGCAGUAGGGAAUAUUGCUCAAUGGGGGAAACCCUGAAGCAGCAACGCCGCGUGGAGGAUGACGGUCUUCGGAUUGUUCACCCCUUUUGUUAGAGAAGAUAAUGACGGUAUCUAACGAAUAAGCACCGGCUAACUCAGUGCCAGCAGCCGCUGUAAUACGGAGGGCGCAAGCGUUACUCGGAAUCACUGGGCGUAAAGAGCGCGUAGGCGGGUUAGCAAGUCAGAUGUGAAAUCCUAUGGCUGAACCAUAGAACUGCAGUUGAAACUGUUAUUCUAGAGUAUGGGAGAGGUAGGUGGAAUGCUUGGUGUAUGGGUAAAAUCCGUAGAGAGCAAGAGGAAUACUCAUUGCGAAGGCGACCUGCUAGAACAUAACUGACGCUGAGGCGCGAAAGCGUGGGGAGCGAACAGGAUUAGAUACCCUAGUAGUC
rnacentral:rRNA from 1 species